AGUGCUUUGAGAUAUGUAUAGUUGGUGAUCCAACGGCGAAAGAUGCACCCCCGACACAAUAUGCUAGGAGGUACGCAAAGCAUGUUCCUUUCCACUAUUUAUUAUGUACGCCGCACAUGCAUAUGAUGUCGUGAUAGCCGGCACAUCAAUGUAGUCCCUAAAGACUGCAUGUACUCCAUGAGGUCAUCAGCAUGCGUCCUUGGUGUCAAUCAUGUAUGAUCCUCUACUUGGAUAUCACAACCUCCCACUAAACCCUAGAUUAUGUUACCAAACCCUAUCUUCUUUCCACAGGAAAUCUAUCAGCAUUGUCGGCAACCAGAAUUGUUAACCCAGAAGCAAAAGUUUCCUAAUUGACCCGGGUUUUGGAAGCUAACUCGAUCUCUUUGAGAUCUCAACACAACAUGAAAACAACCCACAAGAGUGACCUACAAACAUAAACUACCUUUAGCUUGGACAACAAGAGGGGGAUUUUGUCCUUGGGGUGUGGUUGGUGGCUCAGGUAAAGAGUCGAAGAUCAUUUUAGGUUGGUCGGCACGUCAUUGAGACAAGAGAGUGGUCCUCACCCACGCACUAAAACAGCAGACAUUGUGAAGUCUUUAUCAGAACUCUGAUCCAAGCGCAAGGAGCCUGCCCGGCCGGGAAGUGGGGG
rnacentral:lncRNA from 1 species